rfam:Nelumbo nucifera unplaced genomic scaffold scaffold00057, whole genome shotgun sequence
GUCGAUAUGUCCGAGUGGUUAAGGAGAAGGGCUCGAAAUCUUUUGGGUUCUUUUACCUGCGCAGGUUCGAAUCCUGCUGUCGACG